rnacentral:lncRNA from 11 species
CGCUUCCUGGACCUGACAGACGUGAGCCUCCCUGUCCCUCUUGAAGUGCCGGGGGGGGGGGGCGUGGCCAUUGGGGUCUGCGCUGACUGCCUGCCUGCCUCCUCCGCUCCUUGCCCAGGCCAUUGAGGAGGGCUCCCUGGACGCCUUGGACCACGCCGACUUCCAGAACACGGACAUCCCUUUCGAGGUGCCCCUCCCGGCCAAGCAGCACGUCUCCGAGGAGCAUCGGGAGGAGGUGCGCGACUGGGUGCUGACCGUCUCGAUGGACCAGCGUCUGGAGCAGGUGCUGCCGCAGGACGAGCGCGGCACCUACGAGGCCUCCCUGCUGGCCCCCUCCACCGGCGUGCGCUCCCUGCCCUGCCUGGUCACCGGCUACCCAGUGCUGAGGAACAAGGUGGUCUUCAAAAGCCCCGGGAAGGAGGCCAACAAGGAGAGCUGGAACAAGUUCCUGAUGGCCGUCAAGGUGAGGCAGGAGCGGGGGUCCUGGGGGAAGGGGGAGGCUGGGCCUGGGUCCCAUGACCAGAGUGUGACCCCCAGGGCAUGCUCCAGUGCCGUCCCUCCCUCCCUGGAAUCCUAGAGUUGGAAGAGACCUGGUGGGCCACCCAGUCCAACCCGAUUCUGCCAAGAAGCUGGAAAACCUCAUUCAAAGCCCCCCUGACAGAUGGCCAUCCAGCCUCUGCUUCAAAGCCUCCAAAGGAGCCACACUCCCUCUGGGGCAGAGAGUUCCACUGCUGAACAGCUCUCUCACACAGGGAGGACGUUCUUCCUCAUGUCCAAGUGGAAUCUCCUUCCUUUCCUGUAGCUUGAAGCUGCUGUUCCAUUGCGUCCUAGUCUCCAGGGCAGCAGAAAGCAAGCUCCCUCCCUCCUCUGGCUUCCCCUCUCUCACAUCUUGAUCCCUGACCCUCAUCCUGUCUCCUUUCUCUCAGCCUUUCUCUUCUGCAAGCUAAACAUGCUCAGCUCUUUAAGCCGCUCCUCAUAGGGCUUGUUCUCCAGACCCUUGAUCCUUUGGACACAUUCUCUGGACGCAUCCCAGCUUAAGAGUCAUCAUCUCCAGGCCGGGCUGUGGCGCAGCUGGCUAGUAACUAGCUGCUAUAAAUCACUACUGACCGAGAGGUCAUGAGUUCGAAGCCCGGGUCGGGUUAAGCCUCCGACCAUUAAAAAAAAAAAAAGCCCCGGCUUGCUGUUGACCUAUGCAGCCCCGAAAGACAGUUGCAUCUGUCAAGUAGGGAAAAUUUAGGUACGCUUUAUGCGGGAGGUUAAUUUAACUAAUCUACAACACCAUAAAACUGCCAGCAAAACACAAGGAAAAGAAUGAGGAAGUACAGCCACCAAUGGACAGUGAAGCAACAGCUCCCCCAGUGGCCGGAAUCGUGAAGCUGGAAAGAUGUUAAAAAUGCCUCUGUGUCUGUCUAAAACUGAAUGUUGUUUGUCUGUUGGCAUUGAAUGUUUGCCAGAUAUGUGUUCAUUGUAAUCCGCCCUGAGUCCUCUUCGGGGUGAGAAAGAAGGGCGGGAUAUAAAUACUGUAAAUAAAUAAAUCUCCCUUCACUCCCUUGCAGAUGUCGCACAGCCCCCCCUGCCAGGACGUCCUGAGGUUCGUGGGCCAGUGGUGCGGGGGGCUGCCCAGCUCCAGCUUCUCCUUCCAGUGAAGGCCUGGCAGACAGGAUCUCCCCCCCUCAAGACAUUCCGGAAAUCCUCCUUGUAUUUAUUCUCUUGGAUUAAAUCUUGUUUAUACAUACAUGUGCCUUGGGGGCUUCUUUUGGGGGGGCUCAGCAGGGGAGAUGGCGGUUGGGGGGGGGAGUAGGGUGAGGCCAGGACUCCACACCCCAUAGGCGUCUAUGUAGGGAGGGCAGGUAAUAAUACGGUAAUAACAACUAUUUUUAUAUCCUGCACCAUCUCCCCGAAGGGACUUGGGGCGGCUUAGCUGCGGGACCAAGCCCAGCACAACAAAAUUUACAAACACAUUUUAUCAUUUUGUUAUUUUACUGUUUUUCUAUUGUAUUAUAUUGCUUUACUGUGGUUUUAAUGUAUUCUUAUCUGCUUGAAGAUGUUGUUUACAUGCAUUUUAUUUCGUUUAUUAUUUGUUCUUUGGGCUUGGCCCUGUGUUAGCCGCCCCAAAUCCAUGCAGGGAGAUGGAGGCAGGAUAGAAAAAUAAAGCAUUAUUGUUGUUGUUACAGUAGAGUCUCACUUAUCCAAGCAAAUGGGCCGGCAGAAGCUUGGAUAAGCGAAUAUGUUGGAUAAUAAGGAGGGAUUAAGGAAAAGACUAUUAAACAUCAAAUUAGGUUAUGAUUUCACAAAUUAAGCACCAAAACAUGUUAAACAACAAAUUUGACAGAAAAAGUAGUUCAAUACGCAGUAAUGUUAUGUUGUAAUUACUGUAUUUACGAAUUUAGCAACAAAAUAUCACGAUAUAUUGAAAACAUUGACUACAAAAAUGGCUUGGAUAAUCCAGAAGCUUGGACAAGUGAGGCUUGGAUAAGUGAGACUCUACUGUAUUUAGAAACAUAAACCUAUACCAAUCUGAUUGAAGCAAUUAUUUUUUCCGUGUUGGGAGCAACCUGAGUCGCUUCUGGUGUGAGAGAAUUGGCCAUCUGCAAGGACGUUGCCCAGGUGUUUUGAUGUUUUUACCGUCCUUGUGGGAGGCUUCUCUCAUGUCCCUGCAUGGAGCUGGAGCUGACAGAGGGAGCUCAUCCACGCUCUCCCCGGGUGGGAUUCGAACCUGGCAGCCUUUAGGUCAGCAACCCAACCUUCAAGUCAUGAGGCUUUAGUCCACUGCGCCAUCGGGGGCUCCAUUGGAGCAAUUAAAAACAACAGAGUAUAAAAACAAACAUUAAAAUGAAUCAGACAAAGCCUCCAGAACCAGAACCAGGGCUAAGGUGGGCCCGAUCAGAAUUGAGAGCGGGCUGGGCAUGGGCUUGUGCCAAAAGCAGGCAAUAGGGCCAGGGCUGUUGUAAAGUGCUGAGCUCCCUCGAAUGGUCAGCUGGGGCUGGGCUUGCACGGACAGGGGCCUAACCAUGAUCAGACUCACACUGGAAGAUCCAGGUGUGGAGGUCCGAGAAAGGUGGACAGAGGGAGAGAAAAAGGUGUUGGGAAUCACCCUGGAGGACUCAAGUCUAGAUGUAGUUAGACAGAUGAUAGAGUUAAGAUUGAGGGAAUCCUUUCCCUGUUUCCAAAGCAUGCCUAGACAGGCUUUACUGUGUCUCACUCUACCCUGCUUACGUCACAUCCCUCACUUUGAAGUUAGUGGAAAUGUGAAUAUCUUUUAACACUAACUUCUCAUUGGUCAGAAUGUCUUUUAUGGCCCCAAUAAACUGGACCAUGAGGUUGGGACCAUUUUGGUUCUCUCUUCUCCCUUUGUUCUUCAAACUAACAAGAAGCAUCUCGCCAUCCCUCCUGGCAAGAUGUAACUAUUUAGAUCAGGGGUCCCCAAACUAAGGCCCGGGGGCCAAGGUCAUUUACCUGGCCCCCGCCCUCAGUUUUAUAAUAUAAUAUUUUUAUAUCAGUUUUAAUAAUAUAAUAUAUUGUAUAUACAUAUAAUAUUGAUAAAAAUAUUAUGUUAUACAAUAUAAUAUUAAUAAUAAUACCAUAUAAUAAUAUUAAUUAUAUGUUAUAUAUUACAUAUAAUAUUACAGUAUAGUGGUAUAGUUCAAUAUAUUAAUAUAUAAUGCUAAUAUUGUGCUAUGCUAAUAAUAUAAUAUAUUGUAUGUACAUAUAAUAUUGAUAAUAAUAUUAUAAUGUAAUAUAAUAUAACACUAAUA